rnacentral:rRNA from 1 species
GACGAACGCUGGCGGCGUGCUUAACACAUGCAAGUCGAACGCACUUUGCUCCUUCGGGAGCAAAGUGAGUGGCGAACGGGUGAGUAACACGUGAGCAACCUGCCCUUGACUCUGGAAUAACAGCUGGAAACAGCUGCUAAUACCGGAUACGACCUCCGAUGGCAUCAUCUGGAGGUGGAAAGCUCCGGCGGUCAAGGAUGGGCUCGCGGCCUAUCAGCUUGUUGGUGAGGUAACGGCUCACCAAGGCUUCGACGGGUAGCCGGCCUGAGAGGGCGACCGGCCACACUGGGACUGAGAUACGGCCCAGACUCCUACGGGAGGCAGCAGUGGGGAAUAUUGCACAAUGGGCGCAAGCCUGAUGCAGCAACGCCGCGUGCGGGAUGACGGCC